GCCUGGGUGGCUCAGUCAGUUGAGCGUCUGACUUCAGCUCAGGUCAUAAUCUCACAGUUUGUGGGUUCGAGCCCUGUGUUGGGCU
rnacentral:tRNA from 1 species